CUGAAUUCUCCCUCUCGCUUUCUUCCUUUCUUUUUCUCUCUUCCUUUCUUCUCCUUUCUUUUUUCUCUCGCUUUCUUCCAUUCUUUUUCUCUUUCUUCCUUUUUCUCUCUCUCUUUCUUCCUUUCUCUUUCUCUCUCUUUCUUCUUCUCUCUCUUGAACUCUCUUUCUUCCUUUCUCUUUCUCUCUCUUUCUUCCUUUUUCUUUCUCUCAUCUUCCUUCUCUCUCCUGAACUCUCUUUCUUCCAUUCU
rnacentral:lncRNA from 1 species